rnacentral:rRNA from 1 species
AUUGAACGUUGGCGGCAUGCCUUACACAUGCAAGUCGAACGGUAACAGGUCUUCGGAUGCUGACGAGUGGCGAACGGGUGAGUAAUACAUCGGAACGUGCCUAGUAGUGGGGGAUAACUACUCGGAAAAGUGGCUAAUACCGCAUGAGAUCUACGGAUGAAAGCAGGGGAUCGCACGACCUUGUGCUACUAGAGCGGCCGAUGGCAGAUUAGGUAGUUGGUGGGAUAAAAGCUUACCAAGCCGACGAUCUGUAGCUGGUCUGAGAGGACGAUCAGCCACACUGGGACUGAGACACGGCCCAGACUCCUACGGGAGGCAGCAGUGGGGAAUUUUGGACAAUGGGCGCAAGCCUGAUCCAGCAAUGCCGCGUGCAGGAUGAAGGCCUUCGGGUUGUAAACUGCUUUUGUACGGAACGAAAAGCCCCGGGUUAAUACCCUGGGGUCAUGACGGUACCGUAAGAAUAAGCACCGGCUAACUACGUGCCAGCAGCCGCAGUAA